rnacentral:lncRNA from 1 species
UAUAAUUAAUAAUGUAUUGAUCCCACCCCCUCCCUUGAGAAUGAGUCUCCCAAUCCCAUUCCUCAUUUUCAAAUUGUGGUGGGCCCCACGAUUCUGAUUUCGAUUUCUAACUCAAUUUUGCGAAGUAAAUGUUGUCAAUGAUUCCAAUUUCGGAUUCUGAUUCCCCAAUUCGAGAUGUAAACGCAACAUAAAUUUAUUGGGGAAGGAUAUGGGAAAUGGAGGCAAAAUUUUUAAUGGGGUGGGGAAUAGGAUAGGCCUUCCCACCCCCAUUGCCAUCCCUACAUUCCAUCACAUUAUCCUGACUAGUUCCAAAUGUACAUAAAUAAAAUUUGACAUUUUUUAAGGAUCAUCAUAAUUCAAUAUAAGAAAAAUUUUAAAUAAAUACAAAGUAGAAUAAUCAAAUAAUAGUUUUAUUUUGACUACAUGCAUGUUCAAAUUAUAAUUGCCUGUUUGCUUCCAUUUCACAUUAAUAUAAAGACUUACACUUCGAAAGUUCUAGAUUUGGACAGUAACCAACUUAUAUUUUAACCAUAAAAAAUUUUAAAAAUUAAUUUUAAUUGUGACUUUUGGUUGACAUUUCACUUUCUAAUGAUAUUACUUUAUUAUUUAAUUUUAUCCUUUAGAUUUCAACUUUGCACGUUACUUAAAUUAAAAUUAUAAAGUAAUUAAAAAUUUAGAAUGGUUUAAAAUUAUACUAUUAAUGGAAUAUAUGAAAUAUGAUGGAAUUUUAUAGUUGGUCCUCCUCCCGUCCCACAAAUGAAGACAGGACUUAUUUUUUAUCUUUGUCCUAUCCCACUUUAAUUUAAAAUGUAAAAAUAAGUCCCAAUCUCAUCUCAAACGUAACGGGAUCCUGUAAGAUCCCAUCUCAAUAGAAAAAUUAUCAUCCAUAAAUUUGUCAAGAAAAAUACUUAAAAAAAAUCCUUCGGACCUAUUUAGUAUAGUGGUUAGAUAAUUGUGACUUUUAAAUUAUAGAUUUAAGAUGUUUGGUAAAUACUUACAACUGUAACUUGAAAGUUGAACAAAUUUUAUCCCACAACUAUAGGUAAAAUACCUCUAUUGUCCCUAAAAUUUUAUCAAAAAUGUAAUUAUUUUAAUUUAUAAUAAAUAUUUAAAUUUUAUUACAAUAAGAUAAAGAACUAAAAUAAAGGUGAGUUUCUCUGACUAAAGUUGCCAGAAAAGAAAAAAUUACCCUGCCUGCACCUUUACAAUUCUUUUCUCGUGAUCCAUUUAAUGGAGCAAUUGCCGACUCCAAAUGAUCAUCCGAGAUGAAGAAAUCGCCACUUAAAGCUUCAACUCCACUGUUAAAAGAUGACAAUGCACUGUGCACCGCCACCUUUACAUGAUAGAGUGUUGGAACAAUCUUUCAGAUUAUGAUGGCAAUGCACUAUGACUUACUACCAUUAAAUAGUAAUGUCAUGGUAAAGGCACAAUUUUGUGCAGCGAUUUCUCUGUCUUUGAAGUUCGUUUGGUGUCGGUAAUUGCACCAUUGGAUAAAUUGCAAAGAACGAAGUUCAUUGGUACCAAUUAUUACCUAGCAACUAUCACUGGCCAAAUGUUCGCCAACGACGGAUUAUAAUUUCCAUAUACUUAUAAUUAUAUAAUUUAUUAAUAGAUUCAAUACAAUUUAGCAAAUUAAAUAAUAGCUAUUUAAUUAAAUAAUAUAGUUGAUUUAAUAAUUAUAUAUUAAGUAUUUUAACAUAAAUUUUUAUUGAAGACUUUAUACCACAAUUGAUGGUGUUUACAAAAUACGUACCCACUAAUUUUUAUUUCACAAUUACAACUUUUGUCUCAUAGUAUCUAUUACUUAAGAUUCACUUCAUCUCAAUCCCAAAUAGAGUCAAAAACUACCUAACCUCAAUUCCAAACAAGCUCUCUAUUUUCGUUAAUAAUCACAUGUACCUCUUUUUUGACAAUUAUAUCCUUAAUCAUUUUGACUAGUAUUCCAAAUAUAUUUAUCUGGAUAUAAUUGU